rnacentral:rRNA from 1 species
GGGGAGACUGGAAUUCCUGGUGUAGCGGUGGAAUGCGCAGAUAUCAGGAGGAACACCGAUGGCGAAGGCAGGUCUCUGGGCCGCAACUGACGCUGAGGAGCGAAAGCAUGGGGAGCGAACAGGAUUAGAUACCCUGGUAGUCCAUGCCGUAAACGUUGGGCACUAGGUGUGGGGCUCAUUCCACGAGUUCCGUGCCGCAGCUAACGCAUUAAGUGCCCCGCCUGGGGAGUACGGCCGCAAGGCUAAAACUCAAAGGAAUUGACGGGGGCCCGCACAAGCGGCGGAGCAUGCGGAUUAAUUCGAUGCAACGCGAAGAACCUUACCAAGGCUUGACAUGCACCGGACGCUGCCAGAGAUGGUGGUUCCGCAAGGUCGGUGCACAGGUGGUGCAUGGUUGUCGUCAGCUCGUGUCGUGAGAUGUUGGGUUAAGUCCCGCAACGAGCGCAACCCUUGUCCUAUGUUGCCAGCGGGUUAUGCCGGGGACUCAUGGGAGACUGCCGGGGUCAACUCGGAGGAAGGCGGGGAUGACGUCAAAUCAUCAUGCCCCUUAUGUCUUGGGCUUCACGCAUGCUACAAUGGCCGGUACAGAGGGCUGCGAUACCGUAAGGUGGAGCGAAUCCCAAAAAGCCGGUCUCAGUUCGAAUUGGGGUCUGCAACUCGACCCCAUGAAGUCGGAGUCGCUAGUAAUCGCAGAUCAGCAACGCUGCGGUGAAUACGUUCCCGGGCCUUGUACACACCGCCCGUCAAGUCACGAAAGUUGGUAACACCCGAAGCUCAUGGCCACGAAGCUCUGGUACUAUCGGGCAGAGUGUACGAUACGAGACCAUUCACCCGCG